AGCAGCCGCGGUAAUUCCAGCUCCAAUAGCGUAUAUUAAAGUUGUUGCAGUUAAAAAGCUCGUAGUUGAAUUUCGGGAUCAGAUUGUUGGUCGUGCCUCGGUACGCACUGGCAUUAUUGGUUCCUACCUUCUGAAGAACCGCGAUGUCAUUAAUUUGGUGUCGUGGGGAAUCAGGACUGUUACUUUGAAAAAUUAGAGUGUUUAAAGCAGGCGCACGCUUGAAUACAUUAGCAUGGAAUAAUGAAAUAGGACGUUUUGAUUCUAUUUUGUUGGUUUCUAGGAUCGACGUAAUGAUUAAUAGGGAUAGUUGGGGGCAUUAGUAUUCAAUUGUCAGAGGUGAAAUUCUUGGAUUUAUUGAAGACUAACUACUGCGAAAAGCAUUUGCCAAGGAUGUUUUCAUUAAUCAAGAACGAAAGUUAGGGGAUCGAAGACGAUCAGAUACCGUCGUAG
rnacentral:rRNA from 1 species